AGUCCAGGUAGCCACUCCAGGCACGGGCCACGGCGGCGCCACCGAUGAUGUAUUCGAGGAGAACAUUCCAGCCGAUGAGGAAGGCCCACAGCUCGCCCAUGGAUACGUAGGUGAACAGCUGAGACUCUAGGGAUGGAAGUGGAGUUUCGCCACCCCUACAGUUUCUGGUGACAAGGAUGGGAUCCUCUCAAGCCUAAAGAUGGGAUCCUGGGAGAACAAAUAAAAGCAGGCACAGGAACAAAAGAUAUCUGUGUCUCUCAAGAAACAUGUCCUGGGCUGGCCAUGGUGGUUCAUACCUGUAAUCCCAGCACUUUGGGAGGCUGAGGGAGGAGGAUCGAUUGAGCCCAGGAGUUUGGGAGCAGCCUGGGCAACAUAGUGAGACCCCCUAUCUACAUAACAUAAUACAAUUCUCUGGGUGUGGUGGCCCAUGCUUGUUGUCCCAGCUAUUCUGGAGGGUGACGUAGGAGGCUCACUUGGGAGUUUGAGGCUGCAGAGAGCCAUGAUCAUGCCACUGCUUGGCUCUUGCUAUUGGAGCCUCCCUGAGCAUGUGCCCAGCUCCUGGUGUCACACUAACAACCUGGAGAGAACCCAGAGGCAGGACCAGGAUGGGAGGGGCCUGGGACCUCACUGGAACUGCUGCUGCCCAGAGCUCAGGUUUCUGUCACCCACAGGCUGGGAGGCCUUAAGUGAUUCAACCUCACUGAGCCUCAGUCUUCUCCUCUGAAAUGGGGAUCACAGGACUUCCUGCCAGGCAGGGGAUAUGUGAAGACUGAACGAAAUGAUUCACACAAAGAUGUAGCCCAGUGCCUGGGGGACACUAAGCAUAUGCUGAGCCUUCAGCCACGGGUGGCCACCUGGGGCUGGCAGAGGAACGAGGGGCCCGCUGGGA